rnacentral:rRNA from 1 species
GACGUAGGGCGCGAGCGUUGUCCGGAUUUAUUGGGCGUAAAGAGCUCGUAGGCGGCUCGUUGCGUCGGCUGUGAAAACCCGCAGCUCAACUGUGGGCUUGCAGCUGAUACGGGCGGGCUGGAGUUCGGUAGGGGAGACUGGAAUUCCUGGUGUAGCGGUGAAAUGCGCAGAUAUCAGGAAGAACACCGGUGGCGAAGGCGGCUCUCUGGGCCUUACCUGACGCUGAGGAGCGAAAGCGUGGGGAGCGAACCGG